GAUGAAGAACGCAGUGAAAUGCGAUAAGUAAUGUGAAUUGCAGAAUUCAGUGAAUCAUCGAAUCUUUGAACGCACCUUGCGCCCGCCAGUAUUCUGGCGGGCAUGCCUGUUCGAGCGUCAUUUCAACCAUCAAGCCCCGGGCUUGUGUUGGGGAUCUGCGGCUGCCCGCAGGCCCUGAAAACCAGUGGCGGGCUCGCUGUCACUCCGAGCGUAGUAGCACUCGUAUCUCGCUCAGGGCGUGCCGCGGGCUCCGGCCGUUAAACCGCCUCUUUAGCACCCAAAGGUUGACCUCGGAUCAGGUAGGAGGACCCGCUGAACUUAAGCAUAUCAAUAAGCGGAGGA
rnacentral:misc_RNA from 1 species